UUGAUACUGUGAGGCUAGGAUUUGGUUGCUGUGGGUCGAAUGUGUGGUGUAGCGGUGAAAUGCUUAGAGAUCACACAGAAUAUCGAUUGCGAAGGCAGCUCACAAAGCCAAGAUUGACGCUGAGGCACGAAAGUGUGGGGAUCAAACAGGAUUAGAUACCCCUGGUAGUCCACACUGUAAACGAUGAUAAUUCGCUGUCGGCGAUAGACCGUCGGUGGCCAAGCGAAAGCGAUAAGUUAUCCACCUGGGGAGUACGACCGCAAGGUUGAAACUCAAAGGAAUUGACGGGGGCCCGCACACGCGGAGGAACAUGUGGUUUAAUUCGAUGAUACGCGAGGAACCUUACCCGGGCUCGAACGGUGCAUGAAUGUUCAAGAGAUUGGACAGUCCUUCGGGACAUGUAUCGAGGUGCUGCAUGGUUGUCGUCAGCUCGUGCCGUGAGGUGUCGGCUUAAGUGCCAUAACGAGCGCAAC
rnacentral:rRNA from 1 species